UACGUAGGGCGCAAGCGUUGUCCGGAAUUAUUGGGCGUAAAGCGCGUGUAGGCGGAUGAGCAAGUCUGCUGUGAAAGCUCCUGGCUUAACCGGGAGUGGUCGGUGGAAACUGCUCGUCUGGAGGACGGUAGAGGUAGGUAGAAUUCCCGGUGUAGUGGUGAAAUGCGUAGAGAUCGGGAGGAAUACCUGUGGCGAAGGCGACCUACUGGGCCGGACCUGACGCUGAGACGCGAAGGCGUGGGGAGCGAACGGG
rnacentral:rRNA from 1 species